CCGCGGUAAUUCCAGCUCCAAAGUAUAUAUUUAAGUUGUUGCGGUUAAAAAGCUCGUAGUUGGAUUUUGGGCGCAGGCGGCCGGUCCGUCGCAAGGCGUGUACUGGACGUCCUGGCCUUCCCUCCGGUUCUCCGCCGGUGCUCUUGACUGAGUGUCGGCGGCGGCCGGAACGUUUACUUUGAAAAAAUUAGAGUGUUCAAAGCAGGCUCUCGAGCCUGGAUAAUGGUGCAUGGAAUAAUGGAAUAGGACCUCGGUUCUAUUUUGUUGGUUUUCGGAGCGCGAGGUAAUGAUUAAGAGGGACAGACGGGGGCAUUCGUACUGUGCCGUUAGAGGUGAAAUUCUUGGAUCGGCGCAAGACGAACGACUGCGAAAGCAUUUGCCAAGAAUGUUUUCUUUAAUCAAGAGCGAAAGUCAGAGGUUCGAAGACGAUCAGAUACCGUCCUAGUUCUGACUAUAAACGAUGCCAACUAGCGAUCGGGGGGCGUUACAUUGACGACACCCUCCGGCAGCUUACGGGAAACCAAAGUCUUUGGGUUCCGGGGGAAGUAUGGUUGCAAAGCUGAAACUUAAAGGAAUUGACGGAAGGGCACCACCAGGAGUGGAGCCUGCGGCUUAAUUUGACUCAACACGGGAAAUCUCACCCGGCCCGGACACAGUGAGGAUUGACAGAUUGAGAGCUCUUUCUUGAUUCUGUGGGUGGUGGUGCAUGGCCGUUCUUAGUUGGUGGAGCGAUUUGUCUGGUUAAUUCCGAUAACGAACGAGACUCUGGCUUGCUAAAUAGUUACGCGACCAUCCCGGUCGGCGUUUAACUUCUUAGAGGGACAAGUGGCGUUUG
rnacentral:ncRNA from 1 species